rnacentral:lncRNA from 1 species
AUAAAAGAUAUUGUGUCCACCUAAAAACAAAACAACAACAAAAAAUAUCAGCAAUGGUAUUGACAUAAAAAUAGACAUGAAAACCAAUGGAGUAGAAUGGAAGGCACAGAAAUAAAUCCACACAGAUACAGUCAUCUCAUCUUGACAAAAAUCCCAACAAUAUAUGUUAGAGAAAAGAGCAAUUUUAACAAAUGGUUUUUAUUUAACAAAUAUUGUUUUUAUUUUAAAUGGUGGUGUUUAUUUUUUUUUUCAGUUUAUUUUUUCUAAGCUUACUUAUUUAAAAUGAAAAAUGUUGGAAGAAAUUUUAAGCAAUGAUAAGAAAAGAUUAUGUUACUAGAGGAUAGUGGAAAAGCAACUUUGUAUAAUAUGAAUAUCUCCUUGUUAUUGGUAAAAUGUUUUUCUGUAAGAUAUUUUCUGUUUUAAGAAUCUACAUAAGUAUUUUAUGCCAAAUUAUAAAAAGGUGAUAUUGUUGUAUUAUAUAGAAAGCCAGGAGUGAUUAUUGAUUCCAAUAAUAAGCUGUCAUAUGUAGACACAAUACCAAAAUUCAUAGUAUAAACUAAUAUACACAUCUUAGCACCACAAUGUGUGCCUUUCAUUAUGCAAGUGUAAAGAAAUUACUAAUCCAAGUAAGUUUCCAAAUGAUUAAAAUAUUCUAGGUAUGUAAAAGUUGAAUUACUUUUAUUCUUUUAUUUAUUUAUUUAUUUUUUAAUUUUUAUACUUUUAUUUUUAUUCAUUAGUUCACUGUAAUUUUUCUUUUUCUUUUUACUUUUCGUAUAACUCAUUUGUUGUGGAGGUUUAGAUUAUUUUUAAAUAUCAAUUUUUAAAAUAAAUGGAAAUGAAAAUUUAAAUAAAAG